GGAGACAGCGACAAUGUCAGCCGCAACCAACAAAUCAAGGAAAUCAGGUAUUUGAUCAUGCUCAUUUUUUAAAAUUGUGUCUGUAAGCCCAAUUGCUUCAUUUUCUGUCCUCCAUGAAUUUCCUGCAUUCCCAAUAAUGGUGAGAGGGUGGGAUGGAAACCUGCCACACCACAACAGCAGACUCCUUCAACUCUGACAGCGCAAACAUUCGUGAUUCUGAUAUGAUUUCGGACCUUGUGUCAGGACGGAUGAGGAAUGAGUCUCAGCCCUAAGGGUCCACGAGCGGAGUCAAGAUAGCAUGGCUUUGGUCCCGCCCACCUGAGCCUUGCUUCCUGCUUCUCCCGGCUUCUCGUAAGCCGUGAGCAACAUGUCCCGACCGGGGCGGCGAACGACAGACCUCCUUAGAGGCAGCCAGCCAUCCGGGGGAAUCUGCUGCAGGCGUUGGGACAAACGGCAAAGAGUGGUGGCGGUGGCGGCGGCGGCGGCAGCCAACUGCAGGCUUUGGCAGAUGAGGACAUGGCGUCUUAUGGGGGCAGGGGUGCUGCACGGGCGUGAUCGGCACACCUUUGGCCAUGUGACCUCAUGUGCUCAUCACCAAGGCGCUAACAGAACUCCGUACACGUUGUCGGGGCUUGCCGGCGGCGCGUCGUACUCACCACCAGAUGGGAUAGCCUCCGAGCACCCGCGAGCCGCAAAGCCACACGCACAGCAAAUAUCCAAUCAGGUACAAAUCCAUCAGGCCAGCCUGGUUGCGAGCUUCAACGCAUGGAAGCUCCACUUUCCUUCAAAAAAUUUUAGGGGGAAAUUUUCAGGAGCGACACAGAGGAGGAUUAAAUUGAAAAUGUCGAAAAGAAGAAGCAGCGUCCUGUUGUUCGUGUCAGGCCGGGAAAGUGUGCGAGGCUCCUGGUGGCUGCCAGAAAGAAAAAGUUCCUGUGCGACACAUCCUGGAAGUGUUUGGUUGGAUCAUAUCUCUGCCUUUUGUUGGAAUUCCCUUUAAGAUGAGAGACAAAGAGAGACAAGAACGCUUGGUGCUAAAGAAACCCUUUUCAUGAGAGCAGCAAACACUCCAUCCAAUGUUUGGGGGGGGGGGGGUCAUGGUGGUAGACCACUUUUGAGCCGGACACUGAGGCGUCCUAAUUAAAGGCCACUUAUGCCCCACAAAGUGCUGCGUUGCAGGUUGGUGUCAGUGAAGGAGGAGGCGGGGGGGUCGGGGAUUCAUGGCACUCGUAAACAAGGAGAACCCAGGACAGCGGGGAUGGAAAGGACUUUGUUCACACAAGAUGAAGAGUCAACAGCUCCCCCCCUCCUGCCUAGAAAAAAAAUUUCCACCCCCGUCAUCAGCCAUCUCCUCUAAUAAGCAGCACCUACACAGGAGAGGCGACUACAAUGCCGGCAGCUCACUCGCUCCCCUCCUCUUGCUCUCAAUCACUGCUGGGACAAUAAGGGGGAACCCCCUAAUGCCCCCACCUCCACCACACCGCCCCCCCCCCCUUUGAAACAGACACUUCUUUUAUUGAAAUUCUUUGCUGUUCUAAUCCUCCGCUUCCUCCAAGCCCAAUAAUGGACUCCCUGCAUCAUCAGCCUUUUCCAGCCCAAGCCCCUGUCACGUCACAACCCUGUCCAGGUCACAAGUCCACCCUCUCGCCCGCCCUCCUCGUUCCGCUGACAGGUGUAUCUGCAAUGAUCUGGCUAAUUUGUUUCCUUUAAACCCAAAGAUAAAACUAGCAAAAACAAACAAAUACAAAUAAUGAAAUAUAGAAAUAUUUAUGCAUCAUAUCUUGGCAUGUUGAAAUUAUGUUGUAUUUUUUAUUUUAUUUUAUUCAUUUAUGGCCAAUUAACUAAAUAAAUCCAUCCAUCCAUCCAUUUUCUGAACCGCUUAGUCCUCACGGGGGUCACGGGCGUGCUGGAGCCUAUCCCAGCCGUCAUCGGGCAGUAGGCGGGGGACACCCUGAACUGGUUGCCAGCCAAUCGCAGGGCACACAAAGACAAACAACCAUUUUCACACACACUCAUACCUAGGGACAAUUUGGAGUCUUCAAUCGGCCUACCAAGCAUGUUUCUGGGAUGUGGGAGAAAACCCAUGCGGGCCCGGGGAGAACAUGCAAACUCCACACGGGGAGGGCCGGAGGUGGAAUCGAACCCGCACCCUCCUAACUGUGAGGCGGACGUGCUACCCAAGUGCGCCACCGAGCCGCCUGCUUUGUUUAUUAUCAUUGUUAUUAUUAUCAUUAUUGUUUUUAUUAUCAUUAUUAGUGUCAAUCAAAACUACAUUAUUAGUGUCAAUCAAGACUACAUUGAUUGACACUAAUAACUUAAACAAGACAACCGCCUCUUUACAAAUGGUUAAAAUUGCUUUGAUUUUCAGUAAAGAAGUAUUGUAAUUCCCAUUUCUCUUGAAAGCGACAGCCCUCAAUGUCAACUUUCUUCGUUUUAUUUGCAGUCGCCAUGGCAGAAAUGAGCGGAGAGGGGUGGUGCUGCUACCCUUUGGUAAUAGGAGGAAUUACAGUUUCAAGUUUCAUGAUUUUUUUUAUUCAAUUUGACAGUCCAGGCAGGCCAUAAAUAAUACAUUGUAAGACCAAAGCUGCGGGCCGUAUGAAAUCUGACCGGGGGCCGGAUUUGGCCCGCGGGCCGGACUUUGGACAUUUUAGAGGCAUACGUUCACUUUAUUUUUUUUUGUCAAAAGGAGUUAACAUUACUGCGACUGCUUGCCCGAGUCAGUUGUGAAAUUAUUUGUUUGCAUCAUACUGCCACCAAGUGGCCAAAAUGAGCAUAGCAGAAGGUGCCGCUCAAUUGAGGGCAAAUCUUUCAACGCUAUUCAAGUGUGGCACCAAAUAAAGAAGACAUCCUGUCGAGCUAUUUGUGCUCUCAUUAUAUUAUUAUUAUUAUAUAUGUCAUUGUGCCAUUUGUUCGGUGUCUUAUGCCGUAUUUUGUGUUUACUGCCGUGACGAGACGUUUUCUCUUUUAUGUACUAUGGACACUUUACGUUGGUUUUUAUCUUGUUUGCGGCAACGGGAAGUAGGAAGUAAAUAAAAGAAAGCGCGCCAAGAAGCGCAGGUGAAAACAAAUGAGAGUGUGCGAGGAACAAUAAAGAAGUGAAUACA